rnacentral:lncRNA from 10 species
UGGGGGAAGCUGGGUGAGAGUACACAGAACUCUCUGUAUUAUUUGUGUAAUUUCUCAUGUCUUUACUAGCAUCUAGGAAACUGUAACAGACUAACUUAUUAGAUUGUAAAUAGGGUAAACUCAAAUAGCAGACUUAGCAAUUUUGUUGAGAAAGGAAGGAUGCUGAUAGACAUGGAUUUCUGGAUUAGGAAGGACAAGGCUCUGCAGGCCGGUUCAAGAAAAUAAGACUCCCAAGAUCCAGUAAUGAAUACGAUUGCCCUACUUCUUCCCGUUUAUAUGCUGAGCUGCUAGAAGCAGGACUGAAAGAAGUCACCCAAAUAAUAACUUCAUUGUUGCUCACUCUCUUCCAGGCAGAAAGAAGAAAUGUUAUGACAACAGAGCAGCAAGUCCCAUGGUCCUAGCUAAAAGGCGGUACGGCUGUGACUGCUGAGAUGGAGAGUCCUCAAAGAGGGAGUCUCGCUCUGUCGCCAGGCUGGAGUGAAGUGGCACAAUCUCAGAUCACUGCAACCUCUGCCUCCCAAGUUCAAGCAAUUCUCCUGCCUCAGCCUCCCGAGUAGCUGUGACUACAGGUGUGCGCCACCACACUCAGCUAAUUUUUGUAUUUUUAGUAGAGACGGGGUUUCACCAUGUUGGCCAGGAUGGUCUCAAUUUCUUGACCUCGUGAUCCGCCUGCCUCACCUCCCAAAGUGCUGGGAUUACAGGUGUGAGCCACCAUGCCCGGCCAAACCUUGGUACGUUUUAUAGGCAGGGUAGGGGUUGGAGAUGGCUUGGGCUGACGUUCACUGCUUGAGCAUUUUCCAAAGUUUUUAAUUAAUCCCCUUCUUUUCUGCCCUACAUUUCGCCCCCAUUCUAUAUGAGGACACGCUUUCCUAAAUCCUGCUCCUUUCCUAUUUACUUUUUCUAGAGAAUUAAACUUAUGGUCUCUCACCUGAGCAUGGAGUGGAAAUGGGCAUAUAAGGUAGGCAUCUUGAUUAUAGAGGAGUCAACUGUUCAAUAUAUACAGAUUUUCAAGUUAGGUUUUUCCAUACAGCACCUCGUUUUCCAGAGUUAUUCGGGUAAGGUGGCUCUCACAUGUGUUUUUCUUCGCAAAACUUACCUAUCUACCCCAACUUCUAAAAACUGGCACAUUAUUUUGUCCCCCAGUAACAUGCCUGCCAUUCUUUGUCCAUGUGUUUUAUAUCUUUUUAUAUUUUUACUACUACUAUAAUGAGGAAAGGGCUGUAUGUGUUCAGUCAUCUAUCUUUUAAAGGGAAUCUCGUUUUAAAAAAUUCUAGGCCAGGCACAGUGGCUCACGCUUGUAAUCCCAGCACUUUGGGAGGCUGAGGCAGGUGGAUCACCUGAGGUCGGCAGUUCAAGACCAGCCUGGCCAACAUGGUGAAACCCCAUCUCCACUUAAAAUACAAAAAACAGCCAGGUGUGGUGGCGCACGCCUGUAACCCCAGCUACUUGAGAGGCUGAGGCAUAAGAAUCGCUUGAACCCAGGAGACAGAGGUUGCAGUGAGCCGAGAUGGUACCACUGCACUCCAGCCUGGGUGACAGAGUGAGACUCCAUCUAAAAAAAAAAAAGAAAAAAAAAUUCUGUAGCUUCAUAAUGCUCUAAAAUCUGAUAAGACCUAUCUUUCAGUACACUUUACAAAGAUCUCCUUUGGUACUUUUACCAGAUGUAGUUACAUUUUAAUUCUUCAGAUGUAGUUAGAUUCAUUUUAUUAAUUCUUCCAGAUGUAGCUAAAUGCCUGCCCUCCACUACCUGACUCCCAAAUUUAUCAGUGGAUACAUACACACACACUUUCUUUUUAGAAGAAAUUAUAAAUAAAUGUGUUUAAGGAGUGCUGGUCAGGAUGAAAAACUGAAAAAGGGAAUUCACAGGCAUUCUUUUGUUCUUUGCCAAAAUCAUAGCCUUACCCAAAGGACAUAUGCAUAAUAGUUCCCUUAAAAGGCUUACUAGCUUUCCUUAAACUGGGUAGUGUUAAAGAGUCCAUCAAAUCCUCCUUAAUUAAAGCAUUUGUAAAUUAAUGAUCCCCACCAAAUCUGAUUUCAUGCAGUUUGGGCAACAUUUUCAUAUAUAAUUUUACCUCCAAUGUCAUUUGUUCCAGAAUGGCUGGCCAUUACAUUUCCCAUUAUAUAUGAAUAUAUUGAUGUUCUAGUCUACCUAAGCAGGGUUAGGGUAAAAUCAUCCCCAAGAGGUUGAUCUCUCAGUUUACAGGGUAAAUUAAGCCUCCAGGUCUAUAUAAUUAAAGCCAAAACCAUAAGAAUGUUAUGAAUUUACCAAUAUAGAUGGCACUUCAUCAUCUCUUCGAGACAUCUUAGUAUGUUCCCUUUUUCAAAUUUUGAAACAAUACAUUCAUACAUACAUGUAACAGUCAUUAAUACCCAUUGUUUGCCAGGCUUUGUACCAGGUGACUAGGAAGCAUUAGAUCUUUGCCCUUAUGGAGCUUAGAGACUAGCAGUGGAAACAAAAGCAUAUGGGUGCUAAUACCAAACUGAAGUAUAUGUUACAGCAGAGUCUCUUAGAACAUAAGAAAUACAGAAUACUUAACCCAACCCGAAAGGAUCACCUGAGCUAAGUGUUUAAGAACACAUAAGGACUAACCAAGGGAAAACAGAAGAGAAAGAAAGGGCUAAGUCAAAGGACUGGCACUUGAGGUCAGAGAAGGGGUGGUAAAAAAUAAUCCUGAAGGUAAAAAACAUAAUCCUGAAGAGUUUAGGUUUUCCAGAAAGCUAGAAUUUCAUGCAGGGAGUCUUACAGGAACAGAUUUGCAUGUUAGGAAGGUCACUGAUGAUUAUGUGGAGAAAUGAAAAGGGCCGAAGACAACUUGAAGGCAGGGGCGUCCUUAAGGAAAUUACUACAGUAAUCCUAAUGCUAAUCCAGGCAAGAAACCAUGAAAUUGGAGCAAUGGUUCUCAACUGGGGAUGACUCUGCCAACACCCUCCACCCCCGGAGGGCAACAUUUUUCAAUAUCUAAAGACAUUUUGGUUGUCAAAACUGGGAGGUACUACUGGAGUCUUAGAGGCCAGGAAGGCUGUUAACCAUCCUACACUAUACAGGUCAGACCCCCACUUCCCUCACCACUCCCACUGAAGAAUGAUCCAGCCCAAAUGUCAAAACCACAAUCGAGAAACCCUGGAAUAGAAGGAUAUUCAAGAGCGAUUAAGUAGCUUUAGGAGAUACAACUUUUAGACUGACUAGAGACAAACAGCGAGGAAAAAGAGAGGUCCUAUUGACUGUUUGUGUCCCCCUGCCUCCAAAUUCACAUGUUGAAGCCCUAAUCCCCAGUGUGGCUGUAUUUGAAAGUAGGACUUCUAAGGAAGUAAUUAAGGUAAAUGAGGUCGUAAGGGUGGGGUCCUCAUCCAAUAGGAUUAGUGUCCUUAUAAGAAGAGACACACCAAAGAGCUCACUCAUGCUCUCAUUCACUCCUUCUCCCUCUAUGCACAACCAAAGAAAGGCUAUGUGAAUACACAGCAAGAGGGUAACCCCUGCAAAUCAAAGGAAGAGCCCUCACUAGACACCAACCUGGUGAGCACCUGGAAUUCCAGUCAUCAGAACUGUGAGAAAAUAAACUUGUUAUUUAAGCCACCCAAUCUGUGGUAUUGUUAUGGUAGCCUGAGUGACCUAAUAAAAGGGGUAACGAAAGGCUCCCAGUAUUUUUCUUCAGGGUAACCUGAGUAGAUGAUUAAUAGAAAAGAUAUUGGGAGGCAUGGAAUCAUUUUCUGUUUUGUUUUGGCUUUUUUUUGAGAUGGGGUCUCAGGGCAUGUUGCCCAGGCUGGUCUUGAGACACAAGGAUUUUGAAGUAUCUGUGGUACACCCAAGUUGGACAUACUGGCUUGGAGCACAAGAGAGAUGUUUGGACCAGAGAUACAGAUUGGGAAUCCAAAGAGUAGGAAAAGCCAUGAGAUUAGGUAGGAGGAAUAUGGAGUCAAAAAUGAGUACAUGGCAUAAAAAAUGAAAAACACAGAUUAGAUGCCCAGAACACAGUAACAUUUAAAAGAAAGCUGAUUCUGAGACUUUUUUUUUUACAUUCUUUAACUUAUACAUGCAAAAGAUGUGUAAGUUAAUACUUUAUAAAGUACUAACCUUCCAAAUAACUAUUUUUAAGGACUGUGUUUCUCCAUUAUUACAAUUUUCAAAAUUGUUUUGAGACUCCAUAAUGGAAUUAGCUCUCCUAAUUGACUUCCUGUUAACCAACAUGCUCCAUUACUUCUGAUGCCCAUGACAGAUCAUAAGUCACACUAUAGUACAUCUACUCUUAUCAAACAGUAUACUUAUCAGGAGCCAACUUUAUGUGCUUCAGGUAGUUACAAUUAUUGUAUUAUAUAACUUAAUAAAAUAUUCAUAAACCAAUAAAACAAAUGUUAAAAAAAAAGCUGUUUCUAUGAAAGUCACAUGCUCUGGAAAUACAUAAAACCUUACCAUAACUCAGUAAUGGGGGUCAAAAAAUUUAAUUAUAUAAACACAGGGUCAUGUUAAUGCUAACUUACAAAUUAACUGAGGGUAAUCAAGAAAUUGGCUCUGGGCUUCAAGCCUGUCUUUGCCACAUGUAAGCUACAGGACUGUUCUGCUAGUUAUUUAACCCAAGACUCUAAGUCUCUUCAACUAUAACAUAGUGCCAUUUCAAUAUAGGGCUGCUUUGAGAUUCCACAAGGUAUUUAUAAGGGACCAACACAGUACCUAACCCACAGUAAGCAAAUACCCAGUAGGUAAUAUCUUUCCAUUUUUCCUUGGGAAAAAUUUCCCAAGGUAACUACUUUUAAAGAAGACUUACAGUUUGGGAUAUUUAUUUUAUUAUGAUUGCAUUGUACAGCUGCUUUCAUCUGGUCCUAAGGAAUUCUUAAGAGAAGUUUGCAAAAGACUUACUACUACCUCCAGGGCUUAGUCCCAAAUGGCAAAAUUUCUGGUAAAUUAAAAUUAAAAAGAGAGUAGGUGUCAGAAAUCAGUCACAAAACUAGACCCACCCGGAAGGCCAAGGGCUCAAGACCAUGUACGUUAUGUCCUUUUAUGUAGUAUAAUAAUCCUUAUCUUGAAAACCUUUAUGUUCUAGUCAUGAUGUCUUUCUGAACACAGAUUAUAUAUCUCACGAAAGAAUACAUGUAUAUCUACCUGAAUAUUAUCAUUAUACCCCCUUUAUUUUAAAAAGGAGUAAAAUGGCAAUUUCCUUUAGAUUCUGGACUGGAGGGACCAUGUUAUAGUCAACAUUUAAUUUCUAACAUCGAGUAGUAAGUAGAAUGCAGUAAAAAAAAAUUUUGCAUAAAAAAAAUUGUGUUUCUAUUCUUUCUUAAACUCAAGGUAAUCACAGAAGUUAUCACACCUACACCCUUCCCAGUAUAUGGAUGUACUAGGGAGGAAGAUUCCAUGGAAGAGGUAAAAUCUCCCCGCAUGCUUCAUUAUAGAAAGAAAAAGAGAACACUCUCUUCCUAACAGAACGGACCACUGUCUCAGCAUGUGGGAUGGUGAUAAUGAGGGAAUGAUUACCUACCAUCAGAUCAACAAUUAGUAUACACUGAAAUUACAAUGACUGUGAGACUGACCUAAGUGUGAAUAUACAACUUCUGAGCUUCCACUGCCUUUGGAGGGAUCACCACCAGGAUGCAGUCUAAAGGAAACUGUAGUGGUUUUAAAACAUUUACAACAUAAUUCUAAUGUUCAUGCACAUUUGAGACUGUGAAGUUAAAUGUAAUACAGCUGUAAGUACUCAGAUUAAUAUACAAAAUUUUAGUAAAUACUAAAAAACUUACCUAGAUUUAUCCAAAUUCCACCUGGCUUGAGUAUUUUCCAUAUUGUAUCAAUAUAAUCAAUUACAUUGUGAGCUGUGUCUAUGAAGAAACAGGUAGCAAUACAGUCCCAGGUAUCUAAUGAAGAAAAAUCAAAUUACUGCAUCUGUUAUGUUAUUUUGCUUUUUUCUUUUAAUUAAUUAUUUAAAUCUGCCAGUUACCUUUUACAGAGUAUUAAUAUUUGACAGAGAUACAGAAGCUAAACUUCUGAUCAACAUUAUAAUUACAGUAACCAAACAGUCAUUUAUGGGAAAUACUGAUAUCAAUAAUCUGAUUAAGUAAUCAAUUUGGAAAUCAUCCCCAAUAACACUAAUAUUAUAAUCUAAUCUCUACAUAUUAUUACCAAAUGGUAUUUGUUAGAGUUUUGUUUAUCCUCUAUUCAACUUCUAGCCUUCAUUUAAAAUCACUUAAAACAAAAUAAUAGUCAUUCAAAUUUAAACUAGUGUUAACCACCAAUUCUGGCAGGUUUCAGAAAGACUGCAGGCACCAGUUGCCAACUGAGAAAUGAAUGACAUCCAAAUACUUCAACAUCUACCACAACUUCGAAUAAUUACCAGGGAAAAAGGGGAGCCAGGGGCAGGCAGAAGCAGUGGGUGGGAACCCAGUAGAGAACACCGUUUGCCUCUAGGAGGUAUGGUGUCUAUACAAAUGCUGGUGCAAUAAAGGCACUUGAUCCCAUGGAGGACUACCUUCAUCAUCUGUUCUCUCAAACCUUGCUCCAGAAAAAGGGGACUUUUACUUGCCUAAGUGAUGUUUUCCAUUAUUUCAUUCCUUAUCCACAACACCUAACAUCUUCCAUCUCUCCCUUUCUUCCUUCAGAGUACAGGUUGUCCCAGUCUCAGAGUUCAGAGAAAAAUAAACAAAAACUUUCUAUGUUGUAAAAUAAAUAAAUAAAUAAAAACAAUCUAUGUUGUUGCUAUCCCUGCUUUAAGCCCUCCAAUGGCUUCCUGUUUCUCUGAGUACAAUUCCAAGUCCUUGCUAUGGCCUGCCAACAAGUUUGCCUCAUCAAACCCUCUCGAGGCUGACCUCUCACCACUGUACCCAUUGCUUACUACAGCCUAGCUCCUCCUUGAGCAGAGCAAGCACUCACUCUACUCCCUGAUCCUCUUCCCUUGCCAUUCCCCAUCUGCAAAAUUUUGCCUUCAAAUAUCUCAGUGGUUUGUCUGUGUACUCUUUCAAGGUUCUCUACUAGACAUUUUUUUUUUUUAGUUUCUACUCUUAGAAAGGCUUUCCCUGACAACUCUAUAUAAAGCAGCAGCCUCUCCCCAGUCACUCUGUAACCCGUCUUCCCUGCCUUAUUUUUUCUUCCUUACAAUAUUGUAUUUGUUAUUGCCUCACUUUCUCUAUUGGAAGUUCUCUGUGGACAGGGAUUUUGUUUUGUUCACUGUUCUCUUUUGACACCUAGAAAAAUACCUAGUACUUAGUAGGUGCUCAACAAAUACCUAUUGACUCAAUGAUCUUGCUGAACCCUCGGUAUUCUAUUUUGCUUUCCUUUUAGUGCCAAUCUCCCUCUCCACUUUCCCUAUUACCAUCUCCCUUUCUCUCCUGCCUAGCUCAGAUUUCUUCAACAGUUUGCCAGGCUGAAGUCAACUGUGCAGCCUGACUAUACAAGUCCUCCAUGAUCUGGAACAAAUUCACUUUUCUAGCAAUAGCUCCUAUUAAAUCUCAUUAAAUCUCCCAUUAAAUCUUUUCUUUCCCUGCCAGUACAGCUGUGCUGCCAUCCCCAAUCACCUUGUUCAUAUCUUUGUACUUCUGUCUGCCUCAAAUGCUAUUCUCUCAACCUUCAAGUCAUAGCCUCACUAUGAACAGCUUCCUUCUUACACUAAUAACCUUUCAUUUUUUUGGUAUUCAUUACUCAUUUAACCUUUGUUUACAUGGUAUCUCUUAGUAUUAAUGGGCCCAACAGAUUCUAAAUUUCUUGACUGUAGAUAUCUUACACUUCUUAUUUCCUAUCACUGCCUUGUACACGACCUUGAAAACAUUCUAAAUUGACACUGACAUAUGCCUUAUGUUCUACCAUCAAAAUGAAUGAUCUAAACCUUGGCUUAGGAUAAAACUAGCUCAUUAAAUUUAGAAUAAAGGACAAGACUUUUUAAACGCUUGAUUUGGACUUACUGCAUUCUGAAUAAAUCUCUUGA